rnacentral:lncRNA from 1 species
CCGCUCUCGGCCUUCGGCCGUUUCAAAUCCUAGCCCUCUGACUCCGGUUCCAACCGAAGCAAGCCUAGGACGUCGACGACGACACCGCAGGUAAGAAACCCCCCUUUUUAAACUUCUCUUUUUGUAAAGAAAAGGAAAAAUAAGCAUAAAAAAACCAAAAAAGAAUCGAAAUCACCUUUAGAUCUAAAAAACUUUCUUGUAUUCUCUGUAUUUUCAAUUUUUUUCAAUUUUUUCCCUCUUUUACAGAUUUGAUAGGCCUUUUAUAGGCCGAAAAUAAAGAAAAUAAAACAGUCUAAAUGUUGUUUUUGCUGUUUCUUCUCUCUGGGACUCUCUAAGUCCGUGUUUUCGCAGGUGACGUGCGUGGAGAGGGGUCGACCUCCGUGUUGUGCGGCGACUGGGCGUUAGGCGCGACACGAGGCUACUGGACGCGCCUGGAGGCUUGCUGCGGCGCUCCUUAGGGCUAGGGUUCUUUCUUUUAUUUUGCUUUGGGCCAGGGUUAUUUUGGGCUUAGGUUAGUUUUGUUGGGCCUGUAAUUGUUGGACUGUUCCUGGACCUGGGUCGAUUGGGCCCUAUUACAAUAUGAAUUGGAUUUUAAUUUUUAGACUUAUA